GAUGAAGAACGUAGCGAAAUGCGAUACGUAAUGUGAAUUGCAGAAUUCAGUAAAUCAUCGAGUCUUUGAACGCACAUUGCGCCCCCUGGUAUUCCGGGGGGCAUGCCUGUCCGAGCGUCAUUGCUGCCCUCAAGCACGGCUUGUGUGUUGGGCCUCCGUCCUCCUCCCGGGGGACGGGCCCGAAAGGCAGCGGCGGCACCGCGUCCGGUCCUCGAGCGUAUGGGGCUUCGUCACCCGCUCUUGUAGGCCCGGCCGGCGCUUGCCGACACAUCAAUCUUUUUUCCAGGUUGACCUCAAAUCAGGUAGGACUACCCGCUGAACUUAAGCAUAUCAAUAAGCGGAGGA
rnacentral:misc_RNA from 1 species